GCAUAUCAUAAAAAUGAAAGAAGAAAUUCGCCUAAAGAAAAGCUUGCGUCUGAUUAUCUUCCUGGUAAGGGUAAAGGCCUACCAAGGCGACGAUCAGUAGCUGGUUUGAGAGGACGAUCAGCCACACUGGAACUGAAACACGGUCCAGACUCCUACGGGAGGCAGCAGUGGGGAAUUUUCUGCCAUGGGCGAAAGCCUGACAGAGCAAUACCGCGUGAGGGAAGAAAGCCCACAGGGUUGUAAACCUCUUUUGUCAAGGAAGAAGUUCUGACGUUACUUGACUAAUAAUAUCGGCUAACUCCGUGCCAUCAGCCGCGGUAAGACGGGGGAUGCAAGUGUUAUCCGGAAUCACUGGGCGUAAAGCGUUUGUAAGUGGCCAGUAAGUCUAUUGUUAAGCUUGAAGCUUAACUUCAAAAUGUAAUAGAAACUACUAGACUAGAGGAUAGUAGGGGUAAAGGGAAUUUCUAGUGCAGCCCGAAAUGCGUUAGUUGGACGACUCCGAUGACCACGGACUUACUGGCUAUUUCUGACCUAGAGACAAGCUUGAGUAUCACGGUAUUAGAUACCUCAGUA
rnacentral:rRNA from 1 species